UACGUAGGGACCGAGCGUUUGUCCGGAUUCAUUGGGCGUAAAAGCGCGCGUAGGCGGCCCGAUCAGUCCGCUGUAAAAGUCCAGGGCUCAACCCUGGAAAGCCGGUGGAUACUGUCGGGCUAGAGUCCGGAAGAGGCGAGUGGAAUUCCUGGUGUAGCGGGUGGAAUGCGCAGAUAUCAGGAGGAACACCCGUGGCGAAGGCGGGUUCUCC
rnacentral:rRNA from 1 species